rnacentral:rRNA from 1 species
GAGUUUGAUCGUGGCUCAGGAUUAACGCUAGCGGCAGGCCUAAUACAUGCAAGUUGAACGGGAUUUCGGGUAGCAAUAUCUGAAUGAGAGUAGCGCACGGGUGCGUAACACGUAUGCAACCUACCUAUAACUGGGGGAUAGCCUCCCGAAAGGGAGAUUAAUACCGCAUAAUAUUAUUGAGUGGCAUCACUUGAUAAUUAAACCUCAGGGGGUUAUAGAUGGGCAUGCGUCCGAUUAGCUAGUUGGUGAGGUAAUGGCUCACCAAGGCUACGAUCGGUAGGGGGUCUGAGAGGAUGAUCCCCCACACUGGUACUGAGACACGGACCAGACUCCUACGGGAGGCAGCAGUAGGAAUAUUGGACAAUGGGCGCAAGCCUGAUCCAGCCAUGCCGCGUGAAGGAUGAAGGCCCCUAUGGGUCGUAAACUUCUUUUAAAACGGGCGAAACCCCUCGACGUGUCGAGGGCUGACGGUACCGUAAGAAUAAGGGU